GACGAACGCUGGCGGCGUGCCUAAUACAUGCAAGUCGAACGCAGUGGGGACGGGUGAGUAACACGUGGGUAACCUCCCAUCAGAGGAGAUAACACUUGGAAACAGGUGCUAAACCGAUACUGAUGGAUGGACCCGCGGUGCAUUAGCUAGUUGGUGGGGUAACGGCCCACCAAGGCCACGAUGCAUAGCCGGCCUGGGAGGGUCAUCGGGCACACUGGGACUGGGGCACGGCCCGAACUCCUACGGGAGGCAGCAGUAGGGGAUCUGCGGCAAUGGGCGGAAGUCUGACCGAGCAACGCCGGGUGGGUGGAGAAGGGUUUCGGAACGUGAAGCUCUGUUGUUGGAAAAGCGGUAACUAACCAGAAAGCGACGGCUAACUACGUGCCAGCAGCCGCGGUAAUUC
rnacentral:rRNA from 1 species